GCUUUCGUGGUGCAACGGUAGCACACUUGACAGGUAUUUGAAAGGUCCAGGUUAAAGUCCCGGCAAGGGCA
rnacentral:tRNA from 1 species